UACGUAGGGGGCAAGCGUUGUCCGGAUUUAUUGGGCGUAAAGAGCGUGUAGGCGGCCAUACAGGUCAGCUGUGAAAACUCGAGGCUCAACCUCGAGACGUCGGUUGAAACCGUAUGGCUAGAGUCCGGAAGAGGAGAGUGGAAUUCCCGGUGUAGCGGUGAAAUGCGCAGAUAUCGUCUGGAACGCCGAAGGUGAAAACAGCUCGCUGGGGCUGCGCUGACGCUGAGACACGAAAGCCAGGGGAGCGAACGGG
rnacentral:rRNA from 1 species